rnacentral:rRNA from 1 species
GAUGAACGCUGGCGGCGUGCCUAAUACAUGCAAGUCGAGCGAGCAGACGGGGAGCUUGCUCCUCUGACGUUAGCGGCGGACGGGUGAGUAACACGUGGAUAACCUACCUAUAAGACUGGGAUAACUUCGGGAAACCGGAGCUAAUACCGGAUAAUAUAUUGAACCGCAUGGUUCAAUAGUGAAAGACGGUUUUGCUGUCACUUAUAGAUGGAUCCGCGCCGCAUUAGCUAGUUGGUAAGGUAACGGCUUACCAAGGCAACGAUGCGUAGCCGACCUGAGAGGGGGAUCGGCCCAACGGGAACUGAGCCCCGGCCAAGCCCCCCCGGGGGGGCAGCAGUGGGAAAUUUUCCGCAAGGGGCAAAACCCGGAGGGGGAAACCCCGGGGGGGGGAUGAAGGUUUUGGGACUGAAAACCCUUUUUAUUGGGGAAAAAAAAAUGUGUAAGUAACUAUGCCCUUUUGGCCGGUCCCUAAUCAAAAAGCCCCGCCUAACUACGG